GAGAAGAACGUAGCGAAAUGCGAUAAGUAGUGUGAAUUGCAGAAUUCAGUGAAUCAUCGAAUCUUUGAACGCACAUUGCGCCCCUUGGUAUUCCAUGGGGCAUGCCUGUUCGAGCGUCAUUUGUACCUUCAAGCUUUGCUUGGUGUUGGGUGUUUGUCUCGCCUUUGCGUGUAGACUCGCCUUAAAAUAAUUGGCAGCCGGCGUAUUGAUUUCGGAGCGCAGUACAUCUCGCGCUUUGCACUCAUAACGACAGCGUCCAAAAGGACAUUUUACACUCUUGACCUCGGAUCAGGUAGGGAUACCCGCUGAACUUAAGCAUAUCAAUAAGCGGAGGA
rnacentral:misc_RNA from 1 species